UACGUAGGGACCAAGCGUUGUUCGGAUCUACUGGGCGUAAAGGGCGCGUAGGCGGCGCGGUAAGUCACUUGUGAAAUCUCUGAGCUUAACUCAGAACGGCCAAGUGAUACUGCAGUGCUAGAGUGUGGAAGGGGCAAUCGGAAUUCUUGGUGUAGCGGUGAAAUGCGUAGAUAUCAAGAGGAACACCUGAGGUGAAGACGGGUUGCUGGGCCAACACUGACGCUGAUGCGCGAAAGCCAGGGGAGCAAACGGG
rnacentral:rRNA from 1 species